CUACGGGACGCACCAGUGAGGAAUAUUGCACAAUGGGGGAAACCCUGAUGCAGCAACGCCGCGUGGAGGAUGACGCAUUUCGGUGUGUAAACUCCUUUUAUCAGAGAAGAAAAUGACGGUAUCUGAUGAAUAAGCUCCGGCUAACUCCGUGCCAGCAGCCGCGGUAAUACGGAGGGAGCAAGCGUUAUUCGGAAUCACUGGGCGUAAAGGACGCGUAGGCGGGUUUUUAAGUCAGGUGUGAAAUCCUAUGGCUCAACCAUAGAACUGCACUUGAAACUGGGGACCUAGAGUAUGGAAGGGGCAGGUGGAAUUAGUGGUGUAGGGGUAAAAUCCGUAGAUAUCACUAGGAAUACCGAAAGCGAAGGCGACCUGCUGGGACAUUACUGACGCUGAGGCGUGAAAGCGUGGGGAGCAAACAGGAUUAGAUACCGCGUAGUC
rnacentral:rRNA from 1 species